rnacentral:rRNA from 1 species
AGUAACACGUGGAUAACCUACCUAUAAGACUGGGAUAACUUCGGGAAACCGGAGCUAAUACCGGAUAAUAUUUUGAACCGCAUGAUUCAAAAGUGAAAGACGGUCUUGCUGUCACUUAUAGAUGGAUCCGCGCUGCAUUAGCUAGUUGGUAAGGUAACGGCUUACCAAGGCGACGAUGCAUAGCCGACCUGAGAGGGUGAUCGGCCACACUGGAACUGAGACACGGUCCAG